CGUACACUCCUGCGGGAGGCAGCAGUGGGGAAUAUUGGACAAUGGGCGCAAGCCUGAUCCAGCCAUGCCGCGUGAGUGAUGAAGGCCCUAGGGUUGUAAAGCUCUUUCACCGGUGAAGAUAAUGACGGUAACCGGAGAAGAAGCCCCGGCUAACUUCGUGCCAGCAGCCGCGGUAAUACGAAGGGGGCUAGCGUUGUUCGGAUUUACUGGGCGUAAAGCGCACGUAGGCGGACUAUUAAGUCAGGGGUGAAAUCCCGGGGCUCAACCCCGGAACUGCCUUUGAUACUGGUAGUCUUGAGUUCGAGAGAGGUGAGUGGAAUUCCGAGUGUAGAGGUGAAAUUCGUAGAUAUUCGGAGGAACACCAGUGGCGAAGGCGGCUCACUGGCUCGAUACUGACGCUGAGGUGCGAAAGCGUGGGGAGCAAACAGGAUUAGAUACCCCAGUAGUCCCAUGAU
rnacentral:rRNA from 1 species